CCCCCACUGAUAAUGUACAGUAACACCACCAGGUGCAGUAACACCACCAGGUGCAGUAACACCACCAGGUGCAGUAACACCACCAGGUGCAGUAACACCACCAGGUGCAGUAACACCACUAGGUGCAGUAACACCACUAGGUGCAGUAACACCACCAGGUAUAGUAACACCACCAGGUGCAGUAACACCACUAGGUGCAGUAACACCACCAGGUGCAGUAACACCACCAGGUAUAAUAACACCAGUGUUG